rnacentral:sRNA from 2 species
UACGGUCAGGCUUCGUGUUGUCGCAAGGAAGCCGGUGUGAGUCCGGCACGGUCGCGCCACUGUGAGUGGGUUCCAACCCGCAAGUCAGGUCUUUGACGACUCCACGUGCCCCAUCGAUCACGGGACGCAGAAUCCCGGAAGGAGCUC